rnacentral:tRNA from 1 species
AAAGAAUUAGUUAAUACAUAACAUUAAUAUGUCAAAUUAAAAUUACUUUCUUAGUAUUCUUUA